rnacentral:rRNA from 1 species
AUUGAACGCUGGCGGCAUGCCUUACACAUGCAAGUCGAACGGCAGCACGGGAGCAAUCAUGGUGGCGAGUGGCGAACGGGUGAGUAAUACAUCGGAACGUGCCCAAUCGUGGGGGAUAACGCAGCGAAAGCUGUGCUAAUACCGCAUACGAUCUACGGAUGAAAGCAGGGGAUCGCAAGACCUUGCGCGAAUGGAGCGGCCGAUGGCAGAUUAGGUAGUUGGUGAGGUAAAGGCUCACCAAGCCGUCGAUCUGUAGCUGGUCUGAGAGGACGACCAGCCACACUGGGACUGAGACACGGCCCAGACUCCUACGGGAGGCAGCAGUGGGGAAUUUUGGACAAUGGGCGAAAGCCUGAUCCAGCCAUGCCGCGUGCAGGAUGAAGGCCUUCGGGUUGUAAACUGCUUUUGUACGGAACGAAACGGCCUUUUCUAAUAAAGAGGGCUAAUGACGGUGCCGUAAGAAUAAGCACCGGCUAACUACGUGCCAGCAGCCGCGGUAAUACGUAGGGUGCAAGCGUUAAUCGGAAUUACUGGGCGUAAAGCGUGCGCAGGCGGUUAUGUAAGACAGUUGUGAAAUCCCCGGGCUCAACCUGGGAACUGCAUCUGUGACUGCAUAGCUAGAGUACGGUAGAGGGGGAUGGAAUUCCGCGUGUAGCAGUGAAAUGCGUAGAUAUGCGGAGGAACACCGAUGGCGAAGGCAAUCCCCUGGACCUGUACUGACGCUCAUGCACGAAAGCGUGGGGAGCAAACAGG